ensembl:snRNA U6 U6 spliceosomal RNA
GUGCUCGCUUUGGCAGCACAUACACCAAAAUUGGAAUAUACAGGAGAUUAGCACGGCCCCUGCACAAGAAUGACACUCAAAUUCGUGUUCUGGGCGCAGUGGUU